UACGGACCGCACGAACGUUAUUCGGUAUUAUUGGGCUUAAAGGGCGCGUAGGCGGCCUGCCAAGUUGGGUGUGAAAGCCCUCGGCUCAACCGAGGAAUUGCGCUCAAUACUGGCGGGCUCGAGAGAGACAGAGGUAAGCGGAACUAAUGGUGGAGCGGUGAAAUGCGUUGAUAUCAUUAGGAACACCGGUGGCGAAGGCGGCUUACUGGGUCUUUUCUGACGCUGAGGCACGAAAGCGUGGGGAGCGAACAGG
rnacentral:rRNA from 1 species